GACGAACGCUGGCGGCGUGCUUAACACAUGCAAGUCGAACGGAAAGGCCCUGCUGUUGUGGGGUGCUCGAGUGGCGAACGGGUGAGUAACACGUGAGUAACCUGCCCUUGACUUUGGGAUAACUUCAGGAAACUGGGGCUAAUACCGGAUAGGAGCUCCUGCUGCAUGGUGGGGGUUGGAAAGUUUCGGCGGUUGGGGAUGGACUCGCGACUUAUCAGCUUGUUGGUGGGGUAGUGGCUUACCAAGGCUUUGACGGGUAGCCGGCCUGAGAGGGUGACCGGCCACAUUGGGACUGAGAUGCGGCCCAGACUCCUACGGGAGGCAGCAGUGGGGAAUAUUGCACAAUGGGCGGAAGCCUGAUGCAGCAACGCCGCGUGCGGGAUGACGGCCUUCGGGUUGUAAACCGCUUUCGCCUGUGACGAAGCGUGAGUGACGGUAAUGGGUAAAGAAGCACCGGCUAACUACGUG
rnacentral:rRNA from 1 species